ensembl:lncRNA
AUCAAGUAGAAGUGAAAACAGAGAGAGGGCUCUCCAAGGUUCCUUGAUGAAAACUAAAGCCCACUGGAAAAGUGAAAAUUACUGCAAUAAAGGCACACCAGACCACUGUAGUUGGGCUCCUGCAAGUUCCUGAUUUGCACUGUGCUCUGCUGUCACCUGCUGGUCAUCCAAGAAAAGACAGACGUAUACCGCCCCACAUGUUGCCCCAAAGCCUUGGCCUGUAGGAGAGAGCAGUGAUGGAUAUCUAAAUUCUGCAGAUCCAGGGGCCACCAAUGGAGAGGAAAGUGAACACCCAGUAGUGGAGCUGUACAAACUGAUUAAAGAAGAGACAAAGAAAGUUGGCGAGUACAAAGAAAGCAUAAGCCAAAAAUAAUGGAACUACCAUAGGAAAUGACCAGUAUGGACAUGGGAGAAGAAAGAAAAUAUUGAAAGAGCUGACCAAAGAAGUUCAAAACAUGAGUGACAAAUUGAUCAAAGAUCGAGACUCCACAAAAAAGGUGUCAGAGAGAAGUACUGGAGAUAAAAAAAACUGUAGGGCUCAUAAAUUUCAGAAAUGACCAAUGUGAAGACAGGGAUUCUGAAACUGAAGGCACAUGGUCAAUUACUCAG